GACGAACGCUGGCGGCGUGCCUAAUACAUGCAAGUCGAACGCAGUGGGGACGGGUGAGUAACACGUGGGUAACCUCCCAUCAGAGGGGAUAACACUUGGAAACAGGUGCUAAACCGAUACUGAUGGAUGGACCCGCGGUGCAUUAGCCAGUUGGUGAAGUAACGGCUCAACAAGGCCAAGAUGCAUAGCCGGCCUGAGAGGGCGAUCGGCCACACUGGGACUGAGACACGGCCCAGACUCCUACGGGAGGCAGCAGUAGGGAAUCUUCGACAAUGGACGAAAGUCUGACCGAGCAACGCCGCGUGAGUGAUGAAGGUUUUCGGGUCGUAAAACUCUGUUGUUAGAGAAGCGGUAUCUAACCAAAAAGCCACGGCUAACUACGUGCCAGCAGCCGCGGUAAUAC
rnacentral:rRNA from 1 species